GAUGAACGCUGGCGGCGUGCUUAACACAUGCAAGUCGAACGGCAAGGCCCAAGCUUGCUUGGGUACUCGAGUGGCGAACGGGUGAGUAACACGUGGGUGAUCUGCCCUGCACUUCGGGAUAAGCCUGGGAAACUGGGUCUAAUACCGUAUAGGACCCCUUCUUGGGUGUUGUGGUGGAAAGUUUUUUCGGUGUGGGAUGAGCUCGCGGCCUAUCGGCUUUUUGGUGGGGUCAUGGCCUACCACGGCGUCGACGGGUAGCCGGCCUGAGAGGGUGUACGGCGGCAUUGGGACUGAGGGACGGCAGAGACGGCGACGAGAGGCAGCAGUGGGGAAUAUUGAACAAGGGGCGCAAGCCUGGUGCAGCGACGCCGCGUGGGGGAUGACGGUCUUCGGGUUGAAGACUCCUUGCGCGAGGGACGAAGCGUUUUGUGACGGUACCUGGAGAAGAAGCACCGGCUAACUACGUG
rnacentral:rRNA from 1 species